GUUUUAAUAGUUUAAUAAAAACUUUGGUCUUGUAAACCAAAAAUGAAAUAAUUUCUUAAAACU
rnacentral:tRNA from 1 species